ACCUGGCUGGCUCAGUCGGUAGAGCAUGCGACUCUUGAUCUCAGGGUCGUGAGUUGGAGCCCCGUGUUAGGUG
rnacentral:tRNA from 1 species